CACUAACGACAGAAGAAUAACAAUCGUAAUUUAAGAGUUAUCCAACUCAAGUUAACGAAGCAGUGCGUUUAAGAUGAAAUAGCAAAGCACACCGAAUAAGGAAAAUAUAAAUACGACAGCGAAUGCACAGAUUAUACUACCUUGAGAGUUGUUUGCUAAAGAGGCAGUCGCAAGGCAAGGAACCCAAAAGAACCCAAUUUUUGAAAAUAAGACUGAUCCCCAGUGUCCACAGAGAAGAGAAAAAGUCAUCAAAACAAAAUCAUUCAAACAAUAGAAGGGAGCAGCAACGACAGCGUUCCGAAUCAAAUUGAGUCCUUAGAUCUUGUGGUGAACUACAUACACCUGUCUGGACACACCCCCCACCCCCCCCGCUGACUGCUCCUGUGGCUCCUCCCACAGACCCCGGUAUAAAGGCGAUUGAGGCCGGAGCCCUGCCCCUCAGUCUCCAGGAUGUAGUAUGGUGGUCAAUCGCUGCUUGUUCUUUCUUCCAGUCAAUAAAAGCCUAUAUCUUGC